UCUAUCUUCAACUACUGAUACACAAGAUGGGCACAGUCUCUAUCUUCAACUACUGAUACACAAGGUGGGCACAGUCUCUAUCUUCAACUACUGAUACACAAGGUGGGCACAGUCUCUAUCUUCAACUACUGAUACACAAGGUGGGCACAGUCUCUAUCUUCAACUACUGAUACACAAGGUGGGCACAGUCUCUAUCUUCAACUACUGAUACACAAGGUGGGCACAGUCUCUAUCUUCAACUACUGAUACACAAGGUGGGCACAGUCUCUAUCUUCAACUACUGAUACACAAGGUGGGCACAGUCUCUAUCUUCAACUACUGAUACACAAGGUGGGCACAGUCUCUAUCUUCAACUACUGAUACACAAGGUGGGCACAGUCUCUAUCUUCAACUACUGAUACACAAGGUGGGCACAGUCUCUAUCUUCAACUACUGAUACACAAGGUGGGCACAGUCUCUAUCUUCAACUACUGAUACACAAGGUGGGCACAGUCUCUAUCUUCAACUACUGAUACACAAGGUGGGCACAGUCUCUAUCUUCAACUACUGAUACACAAGGUGGGCACAGUCUCUAUCUUCAACUACUGAUACACAAGGUGGGCACAGUCUCUAUCUUCAACUACUGAUACACAAGGUGG